UUGUAAUUGCAUUCUCUUCAACGUGUGAGUUUUGUGGUUCAGAAAAAUGUAGAGACAAAAAGUUGAAUUUCACGUUUUUUUUCUUCCUGUAAGUGAAGUCUCCUUCAUGCGUCGUCGGUAACUACACACGUUACUCUCAACAGCGAAAAUGAAAACGAUGAGUGCGAGUGAAUGGCACAAGAAGAAGCUUUAUAUGUUUAACAAAAUUACAAUGUCUUUUGCAGAGCCAAAUUAUUUCAAAUAUUUCUACAGUUUUGAAAAGAGUCUUGGGGCCAAGCAGGCAGCAAUAAUGCUUCGUAGAUUAUAGAUUGGAGUUUUUAGAGGUAUGCCCUGCAAGCUUUUGUAUCUCAUUCAUUUUCUUUAGUGGCCUACACAACUGCUUUUGAGGUAUAUCACCAUGUUAGUUACUUUCCAAAUUAUAAUAUGCAUUCAAUUUUCAUUUUUCAAAUUAUGUUUGUAGAAACGUUCAAAAAUUGAAAUUGGCAUAUAUAUGGUAAUUGUAACCACACUUUAACUGAACUGGUUUCUAGCUUCAUAUGACCCUCACAAAUCUCAAUCUUGCUUCUUUUCUUCUUCUUUUUUUUUUUAUUAGUUUUCAAUCUUGCUUUUAAUAUUAUUGUUGUUCCAAUCAUUUUUAACACUAUCACAU